GCGCCUGUAGCUCAGGGGAUCAGAGCACUGGUCUUCGGAACCAGGUGUCGGGGGUUCGAAUCCCUCCAGGCGCGCCA
rnacentral:tRNA from 1 species